rnacentral:rRNA from 1 species
GACGAACGCUGGCGGCGUGCUUAACACAUGCAAGUCGAACGGAAAGGCCCUGCUUUUGUGGGUUGCUCGAGUGGCGAACGGGUGAGUAACACACGAGUAACCUGCCCUUGACUUUGGGAUAACUUCAGGAAACUGGGGCUAAUACCGGAUAGGAGCUCCUGCUGCAUGGUGGGGGUUGGAAAGUGUCGGCGGUUGGGGAUGGACUCGCGGCUUAUCAGCUUGAUGGUGGGGUAGUGGCUUACCAAGGCUUUGAAGGGUAGCCGGCCUGAGAGGGUGACCGGCCACAUUGGGACUGAGGUACGGCCCAGACUCCUACGGGAGGCAGCAGUGGGGAACAUUGCACAAUGGGCGGAAGCCUGAUGCAGCAACGCCGCGUGCGGGAUGACGGCCUUCGGGUUGUAAACCGCUUUCGACUGUGACGAAGCGUGAGUGGCGGUAAUGGGUAAAGAAGCACCGGCUAACUACGUG